rnacentral:rRNA from 1 species
UUUAUGGAGAGUUUGAUCCUGGCUCAGGACGAACGCUGGCGGCGUGCCUAAUACAUGCAAGUCGAGCGCGGGAAGCGAGC